CCGGCGAUGACAUUCAUGAUUUAGCUCGAGUGACGGUGCUGUCAAGCCAACCAUUGGAAACCGAGGCUUCAUCUGCAUUGAGGAAAGAAGAGGACAACGAAAGUGAGACUUCGGUGGCUGCUUCUGUGGGAGCUGGUAGCAGCACAGGCCUGGACUGCUUUGAUCUGCCUUCACGUUCAGAUGAUGAUGGCAACUCAUUUGUAUUUCCGAGCUUUGGCUCGCUUCAUGACGCCAUAGUCAGUAACAGCCCUGUGACCUCAGCUAUGUUUCGGCAAAUCGUGGACUUACUG
rnacentral:lncRNA from 1 species